UACGUAGGAGGCGAGCGUUGUCCGGAUUUACUGGGCGUAAAGGGCGCGCAGGCGGCCUUGCAAGUCGCGUGUGAAAUCCACCUGCUCAACGGGUGGGGUGCAUGGUAGACUGCAGGGCUAGAGGACGGUAGAGGGGGGUGGAAUUGCUGGUGUAGCGGUGAAAUGCGUAGAGAUCAGCAGGAACACCGGUGGCGAAGGCGGCGCCCUGGGCCGGACCUGACGCUGAGGCGCGAAGGCUAGGGGAGCGAACGGG
rnacentral:rRNA from 1 species